GCAUAUCAAUAAGCGGAGGAAAAGAAACUAACAAGGAUUCCCCUAGUAACGGCGAGUGAAGCGGGAUGAGCUCAAAUUUAAAAUCUGGCUGGUUUACUAGUCCGAAUUGUAGUUUAAAGAAGCGUUUUCGGUGGCAGCCUGGGUAUAAAUCCUUUGGAACAGGGUAUCAUAGAGGGUGAGAAUCCCGUCUUUGACUCAGUGCAUGCUACUAUGUGAUACGUUUUCAAAGAGUCGAGUUGUUUGGGAAUGCAGCUCAAAAUGGGUGGUAAAUUUCAUCUAAGGCUAAAUAUUGGCGAGAGACCGAUAGCGAACAAGUACCGUGAGGGAAAGAUGAAAAGAACUUUGAAAAGAGAGUUAAACAGUGCGUGAAAUUGUUGAAAGGGAAACGCUUGACACCAGUCAUGCGAGCGGAAAAUCAGUCUUUUGCAGUGGGGAGUUGUGUGGGUUCGGACCGCAAGGCCGGCCUGUGCUGCAUCUCUGCUGUAAGUGAUGCACUUUUUCGUUUGCAGGCCAACAUCAGUUUCUUCUGCUGGACAAAACUCUUGAGAAGGUAGCAGCUUGGGCUGUGUUAUAGCUCUUGAGCGAUACAGUGGAGGGGACUGAGGUUUUCGCAGCGCGUGCUCUCGGGCAAGGCUGAUUGGGUGCUAUGGGAUCGUUCGGUGUACAAUGCAUGCAUUUGCGCCGUGUCUUUUCUAUACUCGCUCAACUCGGCUCUCCGCGC
rnacentral:rRNA from 1 species